AAUUUUGGACAAUGGGGGAAACCCUGAUCCAGCCAUCUCGCGUGUAUGAUGAAGGCCUUCGGGUUGUAAAGUACUUUCGGCAGAGAAGAAAAGGUAUCCCCUAAUACGGGAUACUGCUGUUGGUAUCUGCAGAAUACGCACCUGCUAACUACGUGCCAGAAGCCGAGGUAAUACGUAGGGUGCAAGCGUUAAUCGGAAUUACUGGGCGUAAGGCGGGUGUAGGCGGUUCGGAAAGAACGAUGUGAAAUCCCAGGGCUCAACCUUGGAACUUCAUUUUUAACUGCCGAGCUAGAGUAUGUCAGAGGGGGGUAGAAUUCCACGUGUAGCAGUGAAAUGCGUAGAUAUGUGGAGGAAUACCGAUGGCGAAGGCAGCCCCCUGGGAUAAUACUGACGCUCAGACACGAAAGCGUGGGGAGCAAACAGG
rnacentral:rRNA from 1 species